CACGAGGACGAGGUCGACUCUUGUUAUUUCAAAGAUCAAACCAGCAGGCAUAUGACAGCGGUCUUCUUUUGAAUGCUGUUCAGACACGACUGUUUGGCGGUGCGGUGAAACCACCCCUGAUGUUCCAUAUCAAAGGGAAGGCUGGCACACACGCAGUUUGCUGUCACAAA